rnacentral:tRNA from 1 species
GGGCCGGAGGGCCUCGAUCCCACAUUACAUUAGUUAACAGCUAACACGCCUACCAUAAGCAUCAACCCCAAG